AUCCAACUGACAAAUCCCAAAUAGGACGUAACACGCGUCCGAGAU
rnacentral:hammerhead_ribozyme from 1 species